GUAUACAAGGAUACCUCAUCCUAUUUUUCUGAUCCCAGCCUUGUGAUCACAGUGAUUUUGAAAAGCUCAUUAGAAGAACCGUCUUGCUUCCUCUAGGUGUGAUUUAAAUAACACACUUGUUCUCAGUCCACAUCCCUCGGCUUCUACGAUACUGACUGAGCACAUACUAUAUCCUGGGGACUGUUCUGUGGGCUGGAGUUACAACAUGGGACAAGACAGAGAAAGCACUGCUAUGAUUGAAAGGCAGCUCCACAGCUUCCCAGGUAGGGAUGAGAGAAGUAUUGCUAAUUUGUUCAGUGUCGCACCUGCUUUGUUCUUCACUGGACCAAAGGGGAAAGUCAAAGCUUCCAGGUAUCCUGCAGGGGGAAAGAAGUGUUCCUGGUCCCAGCUAUUGCCUAGGAACUCAGGUUCCAGAGGAUUCUUUCUCCAUAUCACUUGCCCUGUGUCUUCAAAACAAAAGGCAACUGUGUCUGACUGCAAAGGUUUGAGGUUUGCUGAGCUGACACGCAGCUUCAGAAUGCAGUGAGUGAGGGUUUGAGCUGUGGAAGAGCUUUGGCUUAUAAAAAAGACAAAUUAAUUAACUUGUCAAAUCCUUUUUCUCAGAACACAUGAAUACAAUUGAUUCUUGCAUAAUGAAGGUUGUUUCUUAGUAGCACCAAGCAUCCAUUUUCUUGCUUCUUUUCUCAUUCCAUUUCCUGGCUCUCGCAGUGUGCACAAAUUAGGGUUGUAUUUGCAAGUUACAUAUGAAAACUGAGGAACAUUUUGCAAAAUUAAACAAUACAUAUUCUUCCUACGUUUGUAUCUAUGUAGGUCCAGAUGUGACAGAUGUGAAGCAUGAUACUGAGACAAACUAAACG
rnacentral:lncRNA from 1 species